rnacentral:rRNA from 1 species
UAAUACGAACUGUGCGAACGUUAUUCGGAAUCACUGGGCUUAAAGGGUGCGUAGGCGGCUUGUUAAGCAGGGUGUGAAAGCCCUCGGCUCAACCGAGGAAUAGCGCUCUGAACUGGCGAGCUGGAGUGAGGCAGGGGUGCGCGGAACUUCCAGUGGAGCGGUGAAAUGUGUUGAUAUUGGAAGGAACACCGGAGGCGAAAGCGGCGCACUGGGCCUUGUCUGACGCUGAGGCACGAAAGCCAGGGGAGCAAACGGGAUUAGAUACCCCGGUAGUCCUGGCCGUAAACGCUGAGUACUAGUGGGGAGAUCCGCGAGGGUUUUCUCACGGAGCGAAAGUUUUAAGUACUCCGCCUGGGGAGUAUGGUCGCAAGGCUG